AGUAAAUCGGCGAGUAAAAAUUUAUUACUGUAAAACCUAUUUUGGCCGUGUCUAAGUUAUGUCUUCGGUAGAUGUGCGGGUUAAAGGUUGUGACAAUUCAAUUCUUGUUAAUGAAGCAACGUCUCUCUCUCCUAUGGCGGAGUUCUCUCUGCAUUUCUAUCAGCCAACUAUAGGGAUUAAGUACGGAUCAGGAAGUUUGACGUGGGUUUUCGUGGUUCAAAAAUUCGGACGAAAUAAUCUCCGGGUCAUUAUUUUAAUGGAUGCAAUUUGCAGUUUGCUAACGAAAGAUUUACGAGAUGCAGAUUUUUAACUGCAACUUCCGUACUUGUUUCUUCUUCGAACGUCCUAAAUUAUAAAAUCAAUCGAACGAAUUCG
rnacentral:lncRNA from 1 species